UGGGGAAUAUUGGACAAUGGGCGCAAGCCUGAUCCAGCCAUGCCGCGUGAGUGAUGAAGGCCUUAGGGUUGUAAAGCUCUUUUGGCAGGGACGAUAAUGACUGUACCUACAGAAUAAGCCCCGGCCAACUUCGUGCCAGCAGCCGCGGUAAUACGAAGGGGGCUAGCGUUGCUCGGAAUCACUGGGCGUAAAGCGCACGUAGGCGGGUCGUUAAGUCGGGGGUGAAAUCCUGGAGCUCAACUCCAGAACUGCCUUCGAUACUGGCGAUCUUUGAGUCCGGGAGAGGUGGGUGGAACUGCGAGUGUAGAGGUGAAAUUCGUAGAUAUUCGCAAGAACACCAGUGGCGAAGGCGGCUCACUGGCCCGGUACUGACGCUGAGGUGCGAAAGCGUGGGGAGCAAACAG
rnacentral:rRNA from 1 species